GAUAUACAAACACAUGGAUUGGAAACGGUGGGGAUCACGUGAUCAUUUCACCUAACAUUUCAAUGGGAGAGGCUACAACUGGAAAAAAACCUAGGCGUGUUACGGGUUAAAAAUAGAUAGUCAGGAAUAUUCUUCAGAAAAGUCUUGAGAAAAUCAACUGUCUAAUGACUUUUUAAGAUUUGAGAAGUCUUCGGGCUAGGAAAACUUUGGCUGCAUAAAGUUCUCUUUUGAAGCUUCUACCUUGAUAUCACAACAGCUAUUAUGAUGAGACCUUUGGAUUGAUGUGGCUAUUAUCCAAUGUACUGAGUGUUUCUUAUCUUAAUUUCUCGCUUAGGCUGUGUUUUAUUGAGGAAUCGAGAAUAAUCGGACCCACGGUGGAAUUUCUCCCUCUCGCAACUUCAUGACGACUAAUGAAGAAAAUCUGUGGUAUUAGUACAGUUCCCUAGGAAACUCUCCAAUGUAAUGAGCUACAAUGAAGUGACUGUGUUGUUCCUGUGGAUAUUUUUAAGGCUGUUUCUGCCAUGAAGAAUACUGCCAUUUAUUGAUUGUUUUUAAUAAACUUACUAUGCAUGCAUCUAUUAUUUGGUUCCAACUAUUAGUGUUUACAUUAUAGAAUUGUUAUUAAGUGUCAGUGAUACUAUAGAGUCAAGAAAUAUUCAAUAAACAGGGUUUGUAAUUUUACAUCUAUAAGGCA
rnacentral:lncRNA from 1 species